rnacentral:rRNA from 1 species
GACGAACGCUGGCGGCGUGCUUAACACAUGCAAGUCGAACGGAAAGGCCCUGCUUUUGUGGUGUGGUCGUUUGGCGAACGGGUGAGUAACACGUGAGUAACCUGCCCUUGACUUUGGGAUGACUUCAGGAAACUGGGGCUAUUACCGGAGAGGAUCUCCUGCUGCAUGGUGUGGGUUGGAAAGUGUCGGCGGUGGGGGAUGGAUUCGCUGCUUAUCCGCUGGUUUGGGGGGUAGGGGCUUACGAAGGCUUUGACGGGUAGCCCGCCUGAGAGGGUUGACGGCGACCUUGGGCCUGAGAUACGGAGCAGACUCGUACGGGAGGCAGCAGUGGGGAACCUUGCACAAUGGGCGGGAGUCUGAUGCAGCAGCGCCCGGUGCGGGAUGCUCGCCUUCGAGUUGUGAACCGCUUUCGAAUGUGACGAAGCGUGAGUGACGGUACUGAGUAAAGAAGCCCCGGCUAACUACGUG